GGCCAGGGUGGUGGAGUGGUUAACACGUACCCCUGCUAAGGGUAUCUCUCCGGAGGCGCAAGUUCGAAUCUUGUCCUGGUCG
rnacentral:tRNA from 1 species